AACCACGAGGUGUAAAAGACAUGUCAGACUGCAAAUCUGGAGUUGGCAGCUGCCCGGGGUUUC
rnacentral:tRNA from 1 species